GGUCCGGUGGUCUAGUGGAUGGUGCGUCCGCCUCAGAUGCGGGAUGUCGUGGGUACUAUCCCCAGCCGAGUCA